rnacentral:lncRNA from 1 species
UUCUUUUCCCCUCACCAAAAUAUUCCUCUCGUCUUAUCCAGUUAAGGCCGCAGCCUUCAGGUCGCUACCACUGCUGUGGGUUGCCAUCCCCAUGAGGUUGCUGUUGUUCCGACGCCUCUACUCGUCGAGGCCGUUGCCGGGCAGUUGUGGCUGCUAGGAAUUGUUGAUGCCAGUGGUACGUCCUAGUUUUCCUUCUCUAUGGUGAUGGCUAGGUAAGACUUAGGGAUUUGGGGCAGCAUCUCAUAGAUUGGAAUUAGAUAUGAGAACUGGAGAUGGAUUCCUGAAACACUUUGCAAAUUCGUUGGUGAGCCCAGUGCUUAUAAUUAUUUGGUUUUGCUUCCAGGUCAGACCUCCUCUAUGUUAGUUCCUUUGCUUAGCCAAAUAAGUUAGGGAAGAUAGCCCAUCCAUGAUGUUGUGAGAUGUGGACUGCCUUCUAGCAGAAAAACUAGAGUGUUGGGCAUCUCUGACUGUAAACUGAAUCUGGUUCAGUUAAAACCGCACUGACAAAUCUAGAUAGCCAGUUUCUAGGUGGAAAUUGAGUUAGUUAUGCUCACAAUUUCGAGUUGGCCUCUACAUAUCAGUUGCAAAGCAUGUUCCAAGGUUUCCGUGGAGUACUUACUUGCUUCAUUUGGAUGUACGGUUUGAGAGCAAUCGUCUAUUUGGUUACUGUCCAGAAACACAGUUUCGUGGGUACAGUAUUUUCAUAUGGAAGAUUAGGCCCUGUUGGAGGUGGAAUUAAAAUAAAGUUACAACAUAAAAUUUGUAGAGGAUAUUCUGCAGAUUCUUAAACAUAUAUUAUUUGUUAGAUUCCGUGUUAUACACUAAAUCCUAUGAAAUUAUUAAAAUGACUGUACUAUGACAGACAAAAUUUUAUGUUUGGACUUGGGUGAAUGUAAAUAGACUUAUACUCUCACAUUUUGUCGCCGUUGAUGAUGUGAGGAGUUAUAAUGUGAUAAAGUAUAUAUGAUCUAGGGUCUUGUGUGUAGGAGCGAUGCAAAAUUAUAUAUGCUUAUGUAAUCAGACCAUGCUUUAUUGUGACUGUGAUAUAUGCUUCAUGAUAGGUGGGGGUAUUUUGGAUUCGAACUGGUUGCCUCACAAUUUGUGCCCCGCGGUUGAGGCAAGUUCAUGAUGGGAUAACGACUUGCAUAAUCCCUACACUCUAUUUUAUUUAUGAUAUUUGUCCAUGUGAAUGAUGUUUAUUGUGAUGGAGGUGACGAUGACAAAGACAUGUUGAUUCAAGUACUUUGCUUGCAUUUGCAUAUUUGCAUUCAUGAUGAUAGAGAAAGAAAGAGUACCCUACCUUGGGUAGGCACAUUGAGCAUCCAUUGUUGGGUUGUGACCAGCUUUGGAGGCAACCUCCACGCGCUGGAGUGAGCGGAUGUCGAUGGGCGUCCACUCAAGCAAUACCGGUAUACGCAAUGAAAUGAGAUGAGCAUGUAGGCAUGUAGGACACCAAUACAUGUGUUCAGUGUUGUUGAGUGUAUGUUGUUAACAUAGAUUUAGUGCUUUCUUAUGAGUAUUGUUUAGUAUUCCUUUAUGAACUUGUUGAGUCCUUGUACUCACCCUUGUUGCUUACAUGUUUUUAGGUAAACCAUGAAGAAAACAUGCAUGAGAGUCGUGGGGUAGCAGUAUCACCAUCUUCACUACAGGAAUAUCUCAUAUGUUAACUUCUGGCACCGUGUUUUGAGAGCUUGUAUGGCUUAUACCUUACUUCACAUGGUGGAUUGUCUUGGAAUUCGAGAUUUACGCUUUCGUUCUGUAUGGCUUAACUAAUUUCCACUAAGACGUACAUGAUCGCCUAGAGUUUUGAAGUGGCACUUGGUUAAUGUUGGUAUUGUAGCUUUGCGCUUUAUGCUUGUGUUUGGUUCCUUUUCAUACAUAAUCAUAUGAUUUGUGUGUCAUGGAUGUCCUUAGAUACAGAGAAAGC